rnacentral:rRNA from 1 species
UACGUAGGGGGCCAGCGUUGCUCGGAAUUACUGGGCGUAAAGGGUUCGUAGGUGGUGCGGCAAGUUGGGAGUGAAAUCUCUGGGCUUAACUCAGAGGCUGCUUUCAAAACUGCCGCGCUCGAGUGCGAGAGAGGUCAGUGGAAUUGCAGGUGUAGCGGUGAAAUGCGUAGAUAUCUGCAGGAACACCCGUGGCGAAGGCGGCUGACUGGAUCGCAACUGACACUGAGGAACGAAAGCUAGGGGAGCAAACA